AUUUAUAUAAUAUAAUACAUUAUAUUUGACUUCCAAUCAGAAAAUCUAAAAUUUAGUAUAAAUA
rnacentral:tRNA from 1 species